GAUGAACGCUGGCGGCGUGCCUAAUACAUGCAAGUCGAGCGAACAGACGAGGAGCUUGCUCCUCUGACGUUAGCGGCGGACGGGUGAGUAACACGUGGAUAACCUACCUAUAAGACUGGGAUAACUUCGGGAAACCGGAGCUAAUACCGGAUAAUAUAUUGAACCGCAUGGUUCAAUAGUGAAAGACGGUUUUGCUGUCACUUAUAGAUGGAUCCGCGCCGCAUUAGCUAGUUGGUAAGGUAACGGCUUACCAAGGCAAAGAUGCGUAGCCGACCUGAGAGGGUGAUCGGCCACACUGGAACUGAGACACGGUCCAGACUCCUACGGGAGGCAGCAGUAGUGAAUCUUCCGCAAUGGGCGAAAGCUUGACGGAGCAACGCCGCGUGAGUGAUGAAGGUCUUCGGAUCGUAAAACUCUGUUAUUAGGGAAGAACAAAUGUGUAAGUAACUAUGCACGUCUUGACGGUACCUAAUCAGAAAGCCACGGCUAACUACGUG
rnacentral:rRNA from 1 species